rnacentral:rRNA from 1 species
UACGAAGGGGGCUAGCGUUGUUCGGAAUACUGGGCGUAAAGCGUGCGCAGGCGGCUUCUCAAGUCAGGGGUGAAAGCCCAGAGCUCAACUCUGGAAUUGCCUUUGAGACUGAGUGGCUUGAGUACGAGAGAGGUGAGUGGAAUUCCCAGUGUAGAGGUGAAAUUCGUAGAUAUUGGGGAAGAACACCGGUGGCGAAGGCGGCUCACUGGCUCGUAACUGACGCUCAUGCACGACAGCGUGGGGAUCAAACAGG